rnacentral:rRNA from 1 species
AUUGAACGCUGGCGGCAUGCCUUACACAUGCAAGUCGAACGGCAGCGGACCUUUGGGUGCCGGCGAGUGGCGAACGGGUGAGUAAUAUAUCGGAACGUACCUUUCAGUGGGGGAUAACGUAGCGAAAGUUACGCUAAUACCGCAUAUUCUGUGAGCAGGAAAGCAGGGGAUCGCAAGACCUUGCGCUGAUUGAGCGGCCGAUAUCAGAUUAGCUAGUUGGUGAGGUAAAGGCUCACCAAGGCGACGAUCUGUAGCGGGUCUGAGAGGAUGAUCCGCCACACUGGAACUGAGACACGGUCCAGACUCCUACGGGAGGCAGCAGUGGGGAAUUUUGGACAAUGGGCGCAAGCCUGAUCCAGCCAUGCCGCGUGAGUGAAGAAGGCC